rnacentral:rRNA from 1 species
GACGAACGCUGGCGGCGUGCUUAACACAUGCAAGUCGAACGGUGAGGCCCUACCUUUGUUCGGUGCUCGAGUGGCGAACGGGUGAGUAACACGUAAGUAACCUGCCCUUGACUUUGGGAUAACUUCUGGAAACUAUAGCUAAUACCGGAUAGGAGCACCUGCUGCAUGGUGGCUACUGGAAAGGUUCGACUGCAUGGGAUGGAGUUGCGGCUUCGCAGCAUUUUGGUGGGGUAGUGGCUUACAAACGCCUUGGCGGGUGGCCGGACUGAGAGGGUGACAGGGCACAUUGGGAUUGAGAUGCGGGCCAGACUGCUACGGGAGGAAGCAGUGGGGGAUAGUGCAAGAUGGGCGGAGGGAUGAUGGAGCAACUCCGGAUGCGAGAGGACGGCUUUCGGGUUGUAAACCGUUUUCGACUGUGACGAAGCGUGAGUGACGGUAAUGUGUAAAGAAGCACCGGCUAACUACGUG